UACGGAGGGUGCAAGCGUUAUCCGGAUUCACUGGGUUUAAAGGGUGCGUAGGUGGAUUGGAAAGUCAGUGGUGAAAUCUCCGGGCUUAACUCGGAGACUGCCAUUGAUACUAUCAAUCUUGAAUACCGUGGAGGUCAGCGGAAUAUGUCAUGUAGCGGUGAAAUGCAUAGAUAUGGCAUAGAACACCAAUUGCGAAGGCAGCUGGCUACACGAAUAUUGCCACUGAGGCCCGAAAGCGUGGGGAUCAAACAGG
rnacentral:rRNA from 1 species